AGUUAACUGUACUGGAUCAUCUCGGCAGAGAAGAAUAAAAUGCAGGGUUGAAGUUAUCGUUGCGGAUUUUGACAUUGAUUGGAUGUACUGGAUCAUCAAUGCUGCUCAGAAGAAACAAGCUGCUUGUCUAUGCAGUGUGGGUGUAUUACAAAUGUUUGCGAAAAAGUGGCGUCUGUAGAUAUUUAGGAAACUGUACUGGAUUAUUUUGACUCGGAAGACGUAAAUACAGGGUUGAAGUUCUCGUUGCAGAUUUUGACAUGGAUUGGAGGAUGAUGUACUGGAUCAUCAAUUCUGCUCAGAAGAAACAAACUGCUUGUCUAUGCAGUGUGGGUGUAUUACAAAUGUUUUGUAGAAAAGUGGUGUCUGUAGAUAUUUAGGUGAGCAUACCAUGAAAAGCCUUCCCAUUUCCCUUUAGUGUUUUUGUCUAUUUUUUACUAGGAUGCCUCUAAUGGGCAAGUAGACGUAAUCUUUGAGAAAUAAUUAUCUAUUUUAAGGGAACAGAUUCUAAGAUAUAACAUAUAAUGAACCUUAGGAGAAGAAAAUAUUGAUAUUGUAUGUGAAUAUGAUUUCCUAAAGUUAAUAAGAUUCCCUUUUGUUUAGUUCUUGUUAACUACAAGUCUCUCUUAAUAUUACACGAGAAAUAGUGAAUGUUUGGAACCUAGAUUAAGAGCAUAAUGACUUUCCUUUGAAAAAAAAAAAAAAAACUACCCUAAACAGUUUUCCCAACCAUUUGUAAUUCUUUUGUUCCGAUAGUAGUUCCUUGUUAUUAUAAGUUUUGGUGAAGUAGUGUAUGGGAGUCUGCUGGUCUGGAAUUAAAAGUG